rnacentral:rRNA from 1 species
CCUGCCCUUAACUCUGGGAUAAGCCUGGGAAACUGGGUCUAAUACCGGAUAGGAGCGCCUACCGCAUGGUGGGUGUUGGAAAGAUUUAUCGGUUUUGGAUGGACUCGCGGCCUAUCAGCUUGUUGGUGAGGUAAUGGCUCACCAAGGCGACGACGGGUAGCCGGCCUGAGAGGGUGACCGGCCACACUGGGACUGAGACACGGCCCAGACUCCUACGGGAGGCAGCAGUGGGGAAUAUUGCACAAUGGGCGCAAGCCUGAUGCAGCGACGCCGCGUGAGGGAUGACGGCCUUCGGGUUGUAAACCUCUUUCAGUAGGGAAGAAGCGAAAGUGACGGUACCUGCAGAAGAAGCACCGGCUAACUACGUGCCAGCAGCCGCGGUAAUACGUAGGGUGCGAGCGUUAUCCGGAAUUAUUGGGCGUAAAGAGCUCGUAGGCGGUUUGUCGCGUCUGUCGUGAAAGUCCGGGGCUUAACCCCGGAUCUGCGGUGGGUACGGGCAGACUAGAGUGCAGUAGGGGAGACUGGAAUUCCUGGUGUAGCGGUGGAAUGCGCAGAUAUCAGGAGGAACACCGAUGGCGAAGGCAGGUCUCUGGGCUGUAACUGACGCUGAGGAGCGAAAGCAUGGGGAGCGAACAGGAUUAGAUACCCUGGUAGUCCAUGCCGUAAA